AGUGAAACCGAGUUUGAACUUAUUGUACGAGUUCGCGAAUUCUUACAGAAGAUGUGAGGGCUUUGGUCGCAGAGUUUGUUCUUGGAGGAAGGAGCGUACUCUCUUUCUGGUCACUGCGUUCCCUGUCUUUACAUUGAGAAGAACUACUUCCCAAAGAGAGUUCACUCCAGUCAUAGAUGUGGCAGGGUUCCUCUGAUGACCAGAAUGCUAUGGCGUAAGCAUGGAGAGACUGGUUUCAAAUCCUGUGCAGCAUGGGAAAACCAAGCACAUUAAAGUCAAGUACCAUGCUAUUAGGGAAGCUGAACGUGAUGGUGAGAUUGAACCAAUGCACUGCAGCUCAGAUGAUCAGAUUGCUGAUAUUCUAACUAAAGCUCUUCCAAAGAAAAGAUUUGAAGCUCUGAAAGUUAAACUGGAGGUGACCAAACUUAACCUCAAGGAGGAGUGUUAGUAGGGUGAGGUUAGUUGAGUCAUUUGUGUCUUUGUUUUGUGUAUUAAGUCAAAUGUUGUUUACAGAGUUUGAAAAAUCAUCUUUCAUCUUGUGUUUGUAGUGUGACAAGUGGAUGGCUAUGAUGCUUCUUUUCUAGAAGCUUGUAUUAUACCUGUGUUUUGCUUUUAAGAAGUCUUGUAACUCGUUUUGUAAGAACUGUGAAAUUACUAAUGAAGUGUGUGUUUCCUGUGUACUGAAAACUUUGUAAGACUUGAUCUCUGUGUGUCAUCUAAGAGUGUUGCUGCUGUGAAGGAACUUGGUUGCAGGUUGUCAAGACUACAGUUUCUCAUCAGCUCCUGAAAUUACUUUUCAAUUGAAAAGCCAACACGUUUGGCAGAUAUCAUGUAUUUAGUUUAUGUCAUAUAUCACAAGACCUUGAUGAGGAGACUU